CUAUAGACGUCUCGUGCUCGCAGAUGCCGCCCAGCGGCUCCGGGGCGGCAGGCCAGAGCGAUAGGAUUGCUAGGCUUACCAGGCAGACGUUGCUACCCAGCGUGGAGCACUCUAGUCAAGUGUUCGGGACACCACCACCCCACGCCCGGGACCAGCCGGUGGGUCCUCUGAGCCUCGCGGAAAAGGACCCUAAGGAGAGCGCACAGGGGCCGCGAGAGGGCAGGGUGUUGGAGAGGAGUGAACUUGAAUCGGGGACUGUGAUCCCCAGGCGGGGCCCAUAGCCAGGGGCCUGAAGACACAGUUUUCUUUCCCUACUGUCAUUCAUGGGGGCACUAAUCUCGGUAGCUCGGGUGUCCAAUUCCUAGCUACGAAGCCUUUCGAGCACCCACUUGGGAGCCCUCCGCGCCGCGCCGCCUACAGGCUCGCGGCUGUGGGUAGGAGUUUGCGUGCAUCGGCUCCCAGCCACGUGGCGUCUCGUUCACCCUCCACCUGGAUCGCGGCCGC
ensembl:antisense Gm45091 predicted gene 45091